CUCCCAUAGCGCACAUCAAUCACCCUUCUCUCCCUCCCUUCUCUCCCGCCUCUUGGAGCUCCUGAAAGAGUGUGCGGUGUGUUGCUUUCAGCUUGUUUGAGACUGCUGUAACCUUCUACUCAGUGCUUCUACUACGGGCGCUUUCUGCUCAGAAGCCCCCGUUUUGUGAAUGGGCUUCAGUCCGCUCUGACUUCAACCGUGCCCGGGUAGCGCAAGGAACGAAUUCAGAUAUUCAAACAGGCUAAACGCGGUUCUGGGACGCGCACGCUGGUUCAAGUCUGACUGACUGACAGACAGAGAGGGACAAAGUGCUGGACAGUUGGGUCAAGAAAGCCUUUUGUUAUUUAAUCUCUGUUUCCUUCCACCCUGGGUGCUGCCCCCCCUCCACCCCUCCCCCCUCACAUCUCUGAUGGACCAGAGAGCGAAGGGGGGCCCAUCUCUACCUCCACCAUCCUCACUGCCUCUCCUCCCCACAGCCCCACCACAGCAGUACCCAGAGAAAGAGGGAGGCGGUGGGACCAGGAAGAGGAUAGUGAAGGAAGGAGGUGGUGCAGUACUGGAGGUGCUCAUUGAGGGGUGCUGUGGUGCUGCAGGGCAGAGACAGCUCCCAUUCCCAGGCAGAGAGAGGAGCUGCACUGAGGGCAAUGUGAGGCUGAGGAUCGGAGUCCAAACGGCCAAACGCACCAAGAAACCCCCCAGGACCCUGGAGGGCUACGAGUGUAAACCCACCAUCAGGACGUACCAGAGGCCUGGGAGGG